CACGGGGGGAGCAAGCGUUGUUCGGAAUCACUGGGCGUAAAGGGCGUCUAGGCGGUCAGAUAAGUGGGAUGUGAAAUGCCCCGGCUCACCCGGGGACCGGCAUCCCAAACUGUCUGGCUUGAGUAUGGGAGAGGAUGUGGGAAUUCCUGGUGUAGCGGUGAAAUGCGUAGAUAUCAGGAGGAACACCGGUGGCGAAGGCGCACAUCUGGCCCAAUACUGACGCUGAGGUGCGAAAGCGUGGGGAGCAAACAGG
rnacentral:rRNA from 1 species